rnacentral:piRNA from 1 species
UGUGUGUGCAUAUUCAUGAAUCCAGAACUC